rnacentral:rRNA from 1 species
UGAGGAAUAUUGGUCAAUGGGCGUAAGCCUGAACCAGCCAAGUCGCGUGAAGGGUGACUGCCCUAUGGGUUGUAAACUUCUUUUGUAAGGGGAGAAUAAAUUCUACGUGUAGGAUGAUGACAGUACCUUACGAAUAAGCAUCGGCUAACUCCGUGCCAGCAGCCGCGGUAAUACGGAGGAUGCGAGCGUUAUCCGGAUUUAUUGGGUUUAAAGGGUGCGUAGGCGGGCUUGUAAGUUGAAUGUAUAAUCCACCGGCUUAACCGGUGAUCGCGUUCAAAACUGCAGGUCUUGAGUGAAGUAGAGGCAGGCGGAAUUCCUAGUGUAGCGGUGAAAUGCGUAGAUAUUAGGAGGAACACCAGUGGCGAAGGCGGCCUGCUGGGCUUUAACUGACGCUGAGGCUCGAAAGCGUGGGGAGCAAACA